CAGCGACUUAUAUUCUGUAGCAAGGUUAACCGAAUAGGGGAGCCGGAGGGAAACCGAGUCUUAAUUGGGCGUUAAGUUGCAGGGUAUAGACCCGAAACCCGGUGAUCUAGCCAUGGGCAGGUUGAAGGUUGGGUAACACUAACUGGAGGACCGAACCGACUAAUGUUGAAAAAUUAGCGGAUGACCUGUGGCUGGGGGUGAAAGGCCAAUCAAACCGGGAGAUAGCUGGUUCUCCCCGAAAGCUAUUUAGGUAGCGCCUCGUGAAUUCAUCUCCGGGGGUAGAGCACUGUUUCGGCUAGGGGGCCAUCCCGGCUUACCAACCCGAUGCAAACUGCGAAUACCGGAGAAUGUUAUCACGGGAGACACACGGCGGGUGCUAACGUCCGUCGUGAAGAGGGAAACAACCCAGACCGCCAGCUAAGGUCCCAAAGUCAUGGUUAAGUGGGAAACGAUGUGGGAAGGCCCAGACAGCCAGGAUGUUGGCUUAGAAGCAGCCAUCAUUUAAAGAAAGCGUAAUAGCUCACUGGUCGAGUCGGCCUGCGCGGAAGAUGUAACGGGGCUAAACCAUG
rnacentral:rRNA from 1 species